AGACCCAUGCGAUUAUGAUUUUUCCGACAAAAAAAAUUGCCGAAAAAUAUCAUACUAACACAACCAACCAUCGCUCCAUUAUUUUUAUCUCACCAGAAUAAACAUCGGCGAACAGACCAACAACAACAACGAUCAACAACAUCGUAAAAUCACCACCAAAACACCCGCAAUGGCCUCUACCUCAUUUUUCGAUGAGCUGCCGGCGAAAUGCAUCCUACGCAUUCCCU
rnacentral:lncRNA from 1 species